CGGAUUUCUCUCGUAAAGCUAAAAUCUCUUCUAAUUCCCGACUCUUCUUCCUCGGGAUAUUGUUUUCUUUACUUUUAUGAGAACGCGGCCUCCUCCUACUGCUUAUCUUCAGGAGCACGCACGCCUCGACUCGAUCGGCAUAAGGCGAAGUCUGUGUUUUAAUCGCUGGCGUCUUCCCGGAAGGAUCAGGCUGCUAUUGCAUCGCUGGGCGAUGCUGCAAGAGUGGGGCGGGUGAUGGAGAAGCCGUUGUUGGCGACUGGACGGCUGGAAGACCGCGUGCCGCUCUCCGAUGUGGUUGCGGAUUGCGUGCGUCGUUGGUUCCGGGAUACCUUAGAGGAGGCCAAGACCGGGGAUGCCAUGAUGCAGGUCCUUGUCGGCCAGAUGUACCAGAGCGGGUAUGGCGUUCCUCCGAACGAACAAAAGGCUAAUGCAUGGUUUACGAAAGCUUCAAGGCACCGUUCUUCCGUUUGGAAGGUUAGCGAGAAGCAUCCAGGUUAUAAUGCUAGUGAUUCAGAUUCUGAUGAGACUAGCAUGGAGAAGAGCUAAUUCUGUUUCACAUGGAUGGACUACUUUGGGGGUAAGUUUGUACUACAUUAAAAGAAAGAAAAGGGUUUUCCCAGUGCAUGAGACUAUUCACGAGUUUCUUUGGUAGGUUGACUCUUGUUCAUUUCUGUGGCAAUUCUUGUUCAUCAGCGCAUCAGUGCCUGUACAACUUUCCAUCCCUAUCCGGCCUUCAUUCAUCAGAAUUCAUAGCACAUUAUUAACCGAAUUUCAUACACAACAUGAUAUCCAUUUUCUAGCAGUCAUUUUCUCCCUAUCGUGUUGAUAAAUAUGUAAUCUUUGCUUUCUUACUUAGCUGAAAUGCUCAAUUCUGUGAUUGUCCAUCCUUACUUUAAUAACUUUGUGUUAGAAUUUUUCUCCAAAUUAUAGACUUGUUAUGUCCACAGCUUAAACUUUGUAGGAGUGAGAAUAAUAUUCAGUUUAGAUAUGUCGCUAUCGUGGUCUGAAAAGUUGUUAGCUGUUCCAAACUUGUUAGAACCAAGUUGUUUUUGACAAUAAUAGAUAAAUUCACUCUAUUUAUUAA